rnacentral:rRNA from 1 species
UGCAAGUCGAGCGGAUGASAGGAGCUUGCUCCUUGAUUUAGCGGCGGACGGGUGAGUAAUGCCUAGGAAUCUGCCUGGUAGUGGGGGAYAACGUUCCGAAAGGAACGCUAAUACCGCAUACGUCCUACGGGAGAAAGCAGGGGACCUUCGGGCCUUGCGCUAUCAGAUGAGCCUAGGUCGGAUUAGCUAGUUGGUGAGGUAAUGGCUCACCAAGGCGACRAUCCGUAACUGGUCUGAGAGGAUGAUCAGUCACACUGGAACUGAGACACGGUCCAGACUCCUACGGGAGGCAGCAGUGGGGAAUAUUGGACAAUGGGCGAAAGCCUGAUCCAGCCAUGCCGCGUGUGUGAAGAAGGUCUUCGGAUUGUAAAGCACUUUAAGUUGGGAGGAAGGGCAUUAACCUAAUACGUUAGUGUUUUGACGUUACCGACAGAAUAAGCACCGGCUCACUUCGUGCCAGCAGCCGMGGUAGUGCGAAGGGGGCAAACKUURAUCCAAAGCGCUGGGCGCGCGCCGCUGCGUACGUGGGUU